rnacentral:lncRNA from 1 species
AUACGUAUAAUCCAACAUUGACAUUAGCUACUAAUAAUAAUAGUGUCCUUACCGAGGACCAUGGUAAGUCCAGUAUGCAGGGUCAAUAGAAUUACAGCAGAUCAUUAGUAGAUGUCAAUUGAUUAUUAGUACAUGGUGUAAUCUAAUUAAUCCACACAAAUAUAGUUUGCGAUUAUUAGUAGAUGUCAAUUGAUUAUUUGUAAAUUACGGCAGGGUUAACAUGAUCUUCAAUUUUUUGUAGGAUUGCACAACAUCGCUCUUUUUGGAACGAAGACUCGCGGAGAGCCCGGCUUGAAUUCAUCAACCGGCUAGGAAACACAAACACAUCGUAGACC